CCCUUAGAUGUUCUGGGCCGCACGCGCGCUACACUGAUGCAUUCAACGAGCCUAUCCUUGACCGACAGGUCCGGGUAAUCUUUGAAUCUGCAUCGUGACGGGGAUAAAUUAUUGCAAUUAUUAAUCUUCAACGAGGAAUGCCUAGUAGGCGCAAGUCAUCAGCUUGCGUCGAUUACGUCCCUGCCCUUUGUACACACCGCCCGUCGCUCCUACCGAUUGGGUGUGCUGGUGAAAUGUUCGGAUCGGCCGUUUGUCGCGGUUUCCGCGGCUCGUGGCUGAGAAGUUCAUUAAACCCUCCCACCUAGAGGAAGGAGAAGUCGUAACA
rnacentral:rRNA from 1 species